UUUGGCCCAGCGGUAUGACUCGCCUUAUGGUUUCCAUGAGGUCGAGGGUUCGAUCUUGGUGGCAGCAAGGAGGGUGUGUGUGUGUGUCAAUGUAGCAAAAAAAAAAAAAAAUUAGCUAUCUGCAUAUGCAUUAGUUGGUGAUGAAUAUUGUUAUUGCAGCAAUUGGAAUCUUGAAGGGUUAAUGUUGUACUUUCCUUUAUCAUAUGUUUGCUUAGUUACUUUGUGAUCUUAUAGUG
rnacentral:lncRNA from 1 species